ACUGGAGGACCGAACCGACUAAUGUUGAAAAAUUAGCGGAUGACUUGUGGCUGGGGGUGAAAGGCCAAUCAAACCGGGAGAUAGCUGGUUCUCCCCGAAAGCUAUUUAGGUAGCGCCUCGUGAAUUCAUCUCCGGGGGUAGAGCACUGUUUCGGCAAGGGGGUCAUCCCGACUUACCAACCCGAUGCAAACUGCGAAUACCGGAGAAUGUUAUCACGGGAGACACACGGCGGGUGCUAACGUCCGUCGUGAAGAGGGAAACAACCCAGACCGCCAGCUAAGGUCCCAAAGUCAUGGUUAAGUGGGAAACGAUGUGGGAAGGCCCAGACAGCCAGGAUGUUGGCUUAGAAGCAGCCAUCAUUUAAAGAAAGCGUAAUAGCUCACUGGUCGAGUCGGCCUGCGCGGAAGAUGUAACGGGGCUAAACCAUGCACCGAAGCUGCGGCAGCGACACUAUGUGUUGUUGGGUAGGGGAGCGU
rnacentral:rRNA from 1 species